GAACAAAUAGAACAAACAUGAAAAGAUAAUUGUGCUAUUGCCACAAUAUAUCUUAUGACUGUUUGAUCAAACUGAUGUGAUGGGUAACGGAGAGAUGAGAUUAGCCCAAAAACGGCUGACCAAAACAAGAAUCACCAAAACAAAGCAUUUUGGCAAAAGUAUUAAUUAUAUAUGGGACAAUAAGUAGUUUAUUCUUCACCCUCGCCUUUGUUUGUCUUUCUGUCCUUUUGUCAUCACUGACCCUUGUACCUUAUUGGCCAUAUUAUUCUUCUGACAUUUUGCUUAUUUCAUUUCUUUCUAGUGAGACUCAGCCACAUUGCCCCCCGCUGUGUCUACGUGACAUGCGUUUUUUUUGGUAUAUUUUGUCGGCGUAUGCUAGUCACUGAAAAGAAGACAGGGGUCCGGCAGUAACGGCAGCAGGGCGACGUUAACUUUCCUUGACGACAACUGCUAACAGUAGACAAAAGACACGCACACUUUAUUUCUUCUAACAGAUGUUGUUUGUUCCAUUCCUCCCCCCAAACUGAGUUCCGUUUCUGAUAAGAGGUUUUUAGUGACUGGUGGUUAGCACUGAAGCUACGUUUAAAAAUGCUAAGUUGAGUCGCUCGCUGUGGAACUUCCUCGUCUGCGCUGCCCGAUAAAAAAAGAGACUUCCUACAGAGUUAUGACUAUGUGACGCUGACUCACAUUUAAAAGGGAGAAAUAGACUUUAGAAAACUCACCGCUGGAUGAAUGUCUAGUGUAUGCGUACCUGUUUAUUUGUGACGGGAACCACAGAUUGUUUCUUUAGCCUCCUGUAGGUUUCCUUUACACCCAGGACACAGCCGUUUCUCUCAGGGUCUCCCUGCUCUGUAGAAUGGGCCAGCCACUCCUCAUAGUCCUCGUCACCACCUGAUGAACCAGAUGGCAAACCAGUCAGAACACAAGCUUCCAACUUCUUCAUAAAAAACGGUGGCGCUCCAGAGACUUGGAGAACAAGAUUCCACGGUCAUCAGACGUGUACAUGGUUCCGAAGAAGGUAUCUGUAGUUAAGAAGAUAGAAGAAGAGAAAAGCUCCGAUGUAGCCGAAGCUGAAGAUGUCCUCGUGGAUGAUGGUGAAGGAUCUUCCCAGGUCUUUAGUUGUCUUCAGGACCAGGUCUCCUCUCUCUUCUGCAUCCACUGAAAAGACACAAAGACUUUACACCAGGAAUGACCUGAAAGAACUCUGUGUUCGGCUGGAGAGAGAGGGAGUGGACAGGAGGUGAAAGGAGGACCGUGAGAAAGCCUGAAUGAUGACGAUGACACUGAUGGAGCGCUGCUCUCCCUCCGGCUCCGUGCGAGCUCCUGGCGCAGGUUCUGGUUCACAUCCCGCCUGGUCCGGUGGAAUGUCACGGUCCGGUCCGACGCAAGACACACGGACAGCCCGCAAAAGAGAAGCAGGAGUGUCCAGACCAUAUCCGAUGAGGGACAAAACAAGAUUCCUGUCACUGUGUGAGAUGUGAGGAGACUCUGACUGACUUCUGCUCCAGUCAGGUGUUUGUGCCCGCAUCGGAGUGACCUGAGCCGCUGGGACGACGCUGACAGACUGGGACCUGAGGGAAGAGCACCUGGUGGCCACCAACAC